rnacentral:rRNA from 1 species
UACGUAGGGUGCAAGCGUUGUCCGGAAUUAUUGGGCGUAAAGAGCGUGUAGGCGGCCCGAUAAGUCCGCCGUGAAAGUCCAGGGCUCAACCCUGGAAUGCCGGUGGAAACUGUCGGGCUGGAGUCCGGAAGAGGCGAGUGGAAUUCCUGGUGUAGCGGUGAAAUGCGCAGAUAUCAGGAGGAACACCAAUGGCGAAGGCAGCUCGCUGGGACGGUACUGACGCUGAGACGCGAAAGCGUGGGGAGCAAACAGG